ACAAUUGUAUUUUACCCUUUGGCACAUUAAUGAAGGUGUGGACGGACUAAUCCCAGCAUUGCUCGUUCAUUCAGCCGUCUGGAUCGCACACACACAACACCAAAUCUCGCAAUACUUAGUCGACACAAUACUACGGUGUCCUGUAAGGCACAUUCAUUUGGCAAAACUCAAAUGAGAAUGUUGCACAAACUAGUCCGUUUUCCCCAUCAACAGUAAGUUCCAUCCUGGCGAAUAAAGAAAAAAUCAAGGACGCUAAUGUUGCAAAGGGGGCAAAGAAAACAGAAAUCACAAAUGAUCCAAGGUCAUCCAAGAGCCACUCUGUACCCUCUCCUCCUCCGUCUCUGUUCCUUGUGGAGUCUUCAAGAAAGGUCAAGUGUUGUUAAAUGUUCAUUUAUCCUAAGGGUUAGGCUUAGGAUUUAUAUUUACUAUCUAUAAAAUGUAUUUUUGUGAAUAUUUUGGGUGUCUGGAAUGGAUUAAUUGGAUUGACUUUGCUUCCUAUGGGAAGAUUUUGCUUCAGUUUUUGUCUGACCUUUUGGAAGGAAUUAAGAAGAACGGCUGCACAGCAAGCAAACUGCAUGUGGAGCGUUUGAUGCUUGAAUUACCUUGCCAAAGAAGGGUACUAGGUGAUGCUCACACAGAGAGAACAAGUCAAUGUCCUUGACAAUCACCAUCUCCUCGUGGUUUUCAUCAAAGAUGGCGUCAUUCAAGACGUCUGCAAAAAGGCAAGCCUCUGGUGAAGAACUGCAUGGCUUUGGCGGCACGCAGUGGUGUUCGCAGAAGUCCGUCUCGGUUGACGUCCUCUCCGAGCUCCAUCAGUAUCGUGCUAUACUCGGAAACAACUCCGUUCAUCUCCAUUCCGGCUCAGCGCUGCGUUCAGUGACAGAUGUUGCAGCGCACAGUGAAACAGCCCCAGUGGUUUGCUCUUGGCUCAGUGCUUUCUAUAAGGACGUCCCCUUUGGAUGUUCAAGAGUAAAAAUAAGCCCUUACGCUAAGACAUGACAAAUCAGCCAUGAAGGAAAAUGGGAAUUGCCAUGAUAAAAUGCUCCAUCUAAUGCUGUGAAACGGCAUUUGGCUGAUCCUGUGAUUCAAGUUCAGACGUCUCAUGCUGGAAAAGCGCUUUUAGUGCCUUGGAAGUCACAGCUGCACAGGAGUGGAGCUCUGUGCCCCAGAAUAUUAGACAA